GACGAACGCUGGCGGCGUGCUUAACACAUGCAAGUCGAACGAUGAAGCUGGAGCUUGCUCCGGUGGAUUAGUGGCGAACGGGUGAGUAACACGUGAGCAAUCUGCCCUUGACUCUGGAAUAACUGCGGGAAACUGUAGCUAAUACCGGAUACGAGGCUCGAAGGCAUCUUCGGGUCUGGAAAGAAUUUCGGUCAAGGAUGAGCUCGCGGCCUAUCAGCUUGUUGGUGAGGUAAUGGCUCACCAAGGCGACGACGGGUAGCCGGCGUGAGAGGGUGACCGGCCACACUGGAACUGAGACACGGCCCAGACUCCUACGGGAGGCAGCAGUGGGGAAUAUUGCACAAUGGGCGAAAGCCUGAUGCAGCAACGCCGCGUGAGGGAUGAAGGCCUUCGGGUUGUAAACCUCUUUUAGCAGGGAAGAAGCGAAAGUGACGGAACCUGCAGAAAAAGCACCGGCUAACUACGUGCCAGCCGCCGCGGUAA
rnacentral:rRNA from 1 species